AAUCUUCCGCAAUGGACGAAAGUCUGACGGAGCAACGCCGCGUGAGUGAAGAAGGUUUNCGGAUCNUNAAACUCUGUUGUCGGAGNCGAACAAGUGGGAGAGUAACUGUUCCCACCUUGACGGUACCCGACCAGAAAGCCACGGCUAACUACGUGCCAGCCGCCGCGGUAAUACGUAGGUGGCAAGCGUUGUCCGGAUUUAUUGGGCGUAAAGCGAGCGCAGGCGGUUCUUUAAGUGUGAUGUGAAAGCCCACGGCUUAACCGUGGAAGGUCAUUGGAAACUGGGGAACUUGAGUGCAGAAGAGGAGAGUGGAAUUCCAUGUGUAGCGGUGAGAUGCGUAGAUAUAUGGAGGAACACCAGUGGCGAAGGCGACUCUCUGGUCUGUAACUGACGCUGAGGCUCGAAAGCGUGGGGAGCAAAC
rnacentral:rRNA from 1 species